CCCACAGAGCCAGAACUGAAACUCCGAGGAAGCUGCUGCCCUCAGACCUGUCUGUCUGCACACAGGCAGAGGAGAAGCAGCAGAACCAGAGAAGCACUAACGAAGCAUUUCUGAGACAUCCCCACGACCUCCGGCUACUGAAGCACACCCAGUGCCAGGCCAAGCAGGGCUGGUUGGCAGCAGAGAUGUUUCCCAGUUGUCACCAUCACCGAAUUCCAGUGACUCCUCAUGGAGUGACACAUUUUUAACUGAAGUAUGCAAUCUGCAACAUAUCUGUGUAUAUCUUUCAAGGUUUUUUUUUUCCUCUGCCUGCUAUUCAUAGACCUUUCAAAUUUCCCCACACAUGCUGGAGGGCAGGGGGUAACUACCCACCACAAGAUAGAUGCUGAUUUUCAGUAGCAAUAAUUGCCUGACUCCUCUGCAAAUCCCAACUGCUCAGCAGCACCAGCCCCCAAGACUGCCCCAGCCCGAGAGACAAAAAAAGCAGCAGGUUAUAUAUAGAUCUCAGCUGAAGGGAGAAUAUUCAUAGGAUGAGAAAGAGAAUGGCCGAGUUGAAGAUUUCAGUGUUUCCUGCUAAAUAAGCUCCCAAGAAAGACUAAACCAGCCUUAGAAGAGAGGGGGAAAUGAGCCUCCAGCACUCCAGGAUCAACCAGCAGCCCAGACACGGCUGUUCAGUGCCUGAGAAGCUUCUGUGCGUUGAAACAACGACCUCAGGCUGAAAUGAUGUGCACAAACCUACACCACUACCACCCUCCAGUAAUUCCCUUCAACACAUGGAACAUCAGAACCACAGAAUCCCAGACUGGUUUGGCUUGGAAGGGAUCUUAAAGCCCAUCCCAUUCCACCCUCUGCCAUGGGCAGGGACACUUUCCACUAGCCCAGGUUGCUCCAAGCCCCAUCCAACCUGGCCUUGGACACUCCCAUGGAUCUACUGUGCAGGCAGGUAAACUCUGCUUGUCUGAAUUAAGCACAUUUGUAUGCAGUCCUGCUUUAAUCUGCAUGUCCAGAGAAACCUAAUCGUGUAUUCCUCUCCUCAUAAAAACAGGAUUUAAUUCUCACUCAGCAAGUUAUGAGGCAGCAGGAAAAAAAAUGUUGAAGUAAAACUAUUACAAUCAGCUUUGUUGCUCUCUGCUUAUCUUAGAAAUCAAUAUAAAUACAGUAAUUCCUAAUUUAAAUAUUCAGAAUUUAAUAGCAACUUGUCAGUAAAACCUGGUGUACUUGGGAGUCUUUUCAUUUAAAUCAAGUUACAUGCUUUGGUUGCUACAGAGGCUGAGAUUUAAUU